AUAAUGUCUGCACUCUGGGGAGAGUCUCAGCCAUGUGCACUUUCACUUUUGCUUCUGUUUCGAUCAAGAUCCACGGUGAUUCUUAUAUUCCAGCUCCGGUUGAGAUCCAUGCUACAAGGUAUCCUCUAACACCUUCCAUUUGCAAGUCCUCGUGAGAAUCUAUUGCCUGGUGAUCCGAGGUGAAAGAGUUUCAUUCGGAAACCAUUCCCCGACCCCGAUCCGUGGGAAUAUCAUCUUUCAUGAAACUGUCUCUGGUGCCAAAAAGGUUGGAGACCUCUGUCUUAAAAGAUAUAAGCUGUCAGACCUGGGCCUGGCAUGUAGUGAAUUGUGGCUAUUGUUUUUAUUCUUUUUGUCUAUUGGAGAUUUGGAAACAAUUGAUUUUUUUUUUGUCAUUAAUUUUCACUUUCAGGUUGUCAUGAAAUUUAUUUUAUUCAAUUGUAAAACCAUAGACCUCUAGAACAAGCUCGUCUUGUCUAAUCCGCAGCCUGCAGGACGCAUGCUGUGCAUCUACAACUACAGAACCUGUCAAAGCCAAAAUAUCAUUUGGGGCUAUGCCAGAUGUCUUCCCACCAGGUCAGAAAGGAGCUGUAUCUGCCAGAUUCCAAGAACUGUCUUAGAAGAAAGCAGAACCGAGGCCCGACGAGACACCAGCCGUGGAAGGAGAAACAAUAGUUGUCUCUCAGGCAUCCCUCAGCUAUUCCAGUGCUUUCUCCAUUGUGAAGCAUUUUUACAGAAGACAGCUCCAUGGCUCCAGGACCCCUAUGAUAGACUGACUGGAUCCCCCUUCUUCCAUGAAGUGAUUGUUCCCUUCUUCCUCUGUGCCCCUCCACUUCCUUGCACAAGGUAGAAAUUGUCAAAAUUAAAUCUCACCUGCUGUGUGUCAGCCUACUUAAAUAGCUAAUCUGCCUCCUUGUUCUCUUGUGUCUGAGUAAUCAGCAUAUUUGUCCCUUUUUCUUAUUUUUUUUAAAUGCAGAAUCUAUGGACAUUAAAAUAGAUUAGUAAUAGCCACAGCCAUGCACUGACCAUUGCUACAAAAGUGUACUUACC
rnacentral:lncRNA from 1 species